GUGCUGGCACUGCUGAAAUACUACAAAGAAGCAGAAGCUGUAGGUCCUGAGGGCUCAGAGCAGUUCACCUCUGGGAGCCAUGCAGUAAUAGGAUGGAAACUAAUCCAGAGAAUAUUGUAUUGCCACUGUGUGAAUCUGGGAUAAAUCUUCAGCUGGAAUAUUCUUGUGUGCUUCUCAUCACACUUGCUGGGGAAAAUAGGGGAGAUACAGGCAGAUAAAGAAACUUACUAAAACGAUGAAGCCUCUUCCAUGUGAGCAGGGAUUGCAAAGAAUGCAACAUACCAGUUUUCAGAUGCAAUAAACGGGGAAAGGAUAUGAAUUAACUAGCACUAUAACUUUUUUAGGAAAGACUAUAUAUUUCAAAGUCUAAGCCAAUGCCUAACUGACAAAGAUAAGAAGGAAAUUCUGCUCUGGAGAGGUUAUUCCACAACUGUCCAAGACAAAAGAUUAUUCAGUUUAAGAAUCCAGCACUGUCAAAGCUCUCACACAGCAUUUGCCAGUCCUGGUAUCUAAUGAGUCCCGUUUUCAUAAACAAGCAGCCUGGGGAUCAAUCAGCCUGUCAGCCUGUGUCCAUUAGGGUGCUGCCGUGGCGGUGCCUGCUCUGGCCUCGGCACUGCCACCAGCCUGAACCCAGCCGUUUCCCCCAGCGACUUGGGCAAUUUACCAUCCUCCCAGCCCUACCGCUCAUGUGAUCUUUUUUAUCCCUUGCCCAAUUCUGCAAAAUGACUGGAAGUACCUUUUUAAAAGAAAAGUCAGACUAGAAAUGAGGAAGGGGUGCUUGAAGGGAACAGCUAAAUCAGAACUGAGUGGAGCCUAGUGGGGAUGGUGUGAUGUGCAGCCAGGGGUGACUGAAGGGCUGCUGCAUCUUGGCUUGCAUCACCACCACCCUCCCCUGCAGGCUGAAGCUCACUCUCUCUGCAGAAGUCAUGGGCCUGUCCCAGGCAGCACCCACUCCUGCUGUGAGAGGGCCACCAGACCCUCCAGAGAAGACCGUCCAGAGAAGAAGGGUGAGAAGGACAAGGAUGGCUGCCAUGCUGUCACAUGGCAAACUGGCCUAGGCCUGAAUACAGCAAUGAGCUGCACAAUUCAUCCAUGUGGAGAAGGCAGAGAAAUGAGUGCUGGUGUGCAAAAGACUUGUCCCAGGGACUAAGAACAACUCCUUUGCUGUCAAACUCCUGUGCUAGUGCAGCUCUGUUUUGCUCUAGAGUUCGCUCUGUUCCUGAUAACUUUCUGACCCUGUGUUGUGCUCCAGGGACUGUUUUGACCUCCAUGAACCUUUGCCUUCCACACGCUUUAUUUUGGAGAAAAAUAUUCUUAUCAUCCCUUUCAUCUGAGGAGAAAGCCAUCUUCCAAACAGCAAGGUACCCACAGCUUUCUGUGUUCUGUACGGUGGCACUUUUGCUUUUUCCUCAGCCUCUCCUGCCUCUGUUGCGGAUGCUGCCAUUCCCGCUUGGUUAAUUUGUCUUUGUCAGCACAUGUUUCCACAGCAGUGGCAAGACUGACCGUCCCUGGUAGGGCCAGCCGUGUUUACCCGACCACUCCGCAUCCUUCGGCAAGCAGCCUGCUCUUGGUGACUUUUCUGUUCACUUUUACCCACUGAAGCCACAAAUGCUCAAUGAAUUCUUAUGCCUUUUCUAGCCCGAACGAAACUAUCUGAAAAGUAAA